CCUGGGCGGAGCUGGGGCGGAGCUGAGGGCGGGGCCCCGCCGGGGCCCGCUCUGGCUUGGUCCCCGGUGACGGCGGCAGCAGCGGCGGCGGUGGCGGAGACUGGCGUCGGGGUGCCGAGCCCGAGCCGAGCGGAGCCGGAUCCCGGGGGAGCGCGUUCUGCCACAUGUGAUGAAAGUGUCUGCUCUCCGGGAAGGCACAGCCAUGGCUUCCCCACCACCCCAGGAGAUGGAGGAGGAGCUGGUAUCUGCUGGCCCUGAGCCAGGUGACCCUCGGGCCAAACCCCCUGUCAAGCCCAAACCCCGGGCCCUGCCCACCAAGCCAGCUCUGCCUGCCAAGCCCACCCUGCUGGUGCCUAUUGGGCCUCGGCCUCCCCGGGGUCCCUUAGCUGAGCUGCCUUCUGCCCGGAAGAUGAACAUGCUGGCAGGACCCCAGCCCUAUGGUGGCAGCAAGCGUUCCCUACCCUUUGCACCAAGACCGACAGCCGAGGCCUCUACUGGAGAAGAAGCCACCCGAGAGACUGGGAAAGAGGAGGCUGGGAAAGAGGAGAUGCCCCCCUUGACACCCCCGGCUCGAUGUGCUGUCCCAGGGGGCGUGCGGAAGGCUCCUGCCCCCUUCCGUCCAGCCUCAGAGCGCUUUGCAGCCACCACAGUGGAAGAGAUCCUGGCCAAGAUGGAGCAGCCGCGGAAGGGGGUCCCUGCCAGUCCUGACCGCCUCUGGGGCUCCCGCCUAACCUUUAACCAUGAUGGCAGCUCAAAAUACGGCCCCAGGACCUAUGGCGUGGUUGCAAGUCCUAGGGAUGAGGACGGGACCCUCUGCAGGGUAUGGUCCCAGGAGGAGCCAGCGAAAUCUACAGAGAGUCCGGAAGAGCACAGCCAGCCCCCCAAGGAGAGGAGCCCCACUUCAGACCGGGCCUUCAACGGGGACCUGGCUCAGCCGGCCAGCUCUGAGCCACCUACCCACGUUUCCAAGCCUUGGGUCCCUUCAAGUCCAAGCCCCACCUCAGAGAAUGGAGGCUCCACCAGCCCAGGCCUCCUUGCUGAAGUCUCAGGCCCAGUCCCUGGGUCUCCCCGAUUUCACUCACCCGACAAGAACACUCCUCGCCACUUUCAGCUUCCGGAAGCCCCAGUUCCUGAAGCUUCUGGGCCUUGUCCCUGCCGUCCUGAGACUCCAGCACCCCCAGCUGUGGUCCUGCCUGACGAGGGCUCCUGCCAUGCUGCCAGCCCCGUGCUCCCCGAUGUGGGAGCCCUAGAGACCCCCAGACCUGGCAGCCCUCCUGUGGAGAAGGUCUCAGGGCGCCACAGCCCACAGCAGCCUCCAGCCACCUCGCCCCUGCCCCUGAUGGACAGGGGGGAGUUGCUAGAUCUUGAGCGGACGUUUCCAUCUGGCACUGAGGUGGCCAAGGGUGACGCAGACCUCCGCCCCAUCAGCCUGGCUCAGCGCCGAUUUUCGGAAGGUGUGCUCCAGCCGCCCGGCCAAGACCAGGAGAAGUUGGGGGGCUCACUGGCUGACCUGCCCCAAACCCAGGGGAGACAGUCAGCCCUGGAUCGUCCCAGUGGGGGUGGGACAGAGUCCAACUGGAGCUUGUCACAGUCCUUUGAAUGGACCUUCCCCACUCGAACAUCUGGUCUAGGGGUGUGGCGGCUGGACUCCCCGCCCCCCUCCCCUAUCACGGAAGCCCCUGAGGCUGCGGAGGCUGAGGCUGCUGCUGCGGAGGCUGGGGCCUGGGCUGCAUCCAGCAGGGAGGGGGUGUCCCAGCAGGGGCAAGGGGCCCAGACAGCUCCAGAGGGGCCAGGAAGGCCUGGUUCCUGGGUGGGGGCAGAUGAUCCGGGGAUCUCCCCAGCCCAGCAGGGUGAUGGGGAGAGUCAGCCUGCAUCCCCAGCUGUUCCCCUUGAGCAUCCACCAGCAACAGGGGACCCACCUGAACCGGUCUUGCUGCAGGCAGAGGAGAGGUAUGAGGAGCGGGAGCCCCUGGCCGGACAGGAGGCCCCACUCCCUCUGGCCACCAGGGAGGCUGCCCUUCCCAUCCUGGAGCCAGUCCUAGGGCAGCAGCAGCCAGCACCCUCUGAUCAGCCCUGUGUCCUUUUUGCUGACACCCCUGACCCCGGGCAGGCACUGCCUGCUGAAGAAGAGACCAUGACGCUAGCCCGGGCUGAGACCACCCAACCCACGACAGAGGCUCAAGACCCUUGUAGGGUGUCCCCCGAGCCUGUAGGCCCUGAAAGCAGCUCCCGCUGGUUGGAUGACCUCCUGGCUUCGCCGCCACCCAGUGCUGGCAGUGCAAGGCGGGGAGCUGGCUCUGAGCUGAAGGAUGCACAGGUCCUGAGUGCCUGCUCUGAGGGACUCCUUGGCUGGGCCCAGAAAGAUCUGCAGAGUGAAUUUGGGAUUGCAGCAAACCCACAGCCCAGCAGUUUCAGCCGUUCCAGCUGGUCCCAACACACUUCUCAGGACUAUGGCCUGGGGGGUGCGAGCCCUAGAGGGGACCCAGGCCUUGGAGAAAGGGACUGGGCCAGCAAAUGUGGGCAAGGAGUGGGGGAAGGGAGCAGCAGGGAGUGGGCCAGCAUGUGUGGCAUCAGCCAGGAGGAGAUGGAGGUUGGCAGCCCAGGUGGGAGUGGAGUGUCCGCCGCAGGGGGGCUUGCAGCCCAGGACCUGCUGACUGGAACGCCAGUCGUGCUUGGCACCCAGAGCCAGGAGGCGGAGGUCCAGGACUGGGAGUUCAGACAGAGGGAUUCCCAGGGCACUUACUCCAGCCGGGACGUGGAGCUCCAGGACCAGGAAUUCGGGAAGCGAGAUUCGUUGGGUCCUUACGGCAGUCGGGACGGGAGCCUUCAGGACUGGGAGUUUGGGAAAAGAGAUUCCUUGGGUGCUUACGCCAGCCAGGAGACGGAUGAGCAGAGCCAGGAACUGGGGAAGGAGGACCACCUCGGCAGGUACAGCAGCCAGGAUGCAGAGGAGCAGGAGUUUGGGAAAAGUGCCUGGAUGAGGGACUACAGCAGCAGUGGCAGCUCCACGGCCCUCGGUCCCCAGGACACAGGUUUCGGAACGAGAGCCCUGAGCACCGGGUUCAGCCCUGAGGAAGCCCAACAGCAGGACGAGGAGUUUGAGAAGAAGAUUCCGGGUGGCGGAGACAGCCUGGGCAAAGCCAGCGGGGAUGCAAGCCGGCCUGAGGAGAGAGAGUCGGGUGGCUUAUUCAGCCCCAGCACCCCCCAGCCGCAGGAGGGGGCGCUGGUACAGAGAGACCAGAGCAGCUGGCAGGGCAGCGGUGCCAGCCAGGAGGGUGGAGGGCUUCAGGGGAGACAGGCAGGGGCCCAGAGCCCAGGCGAUGCUGACCAGGAAGGCAGGGACAUGGGACAGCCAGGCUGGACGGGCGACUUCCGCCUCGGUGUCGUCCCGCAGCCAGAGGCUUCCUUCAACCCAGGGCAGCGAGACUGGAGCAGCGACUUCUGCGUGGAGGCUACCAAGAGGGGCCAUCAGUUUGGCAUCAUUGGUAAUGACCGAAUGAGCGGUCCCGGCCUGAGCCCUUCUGGCCACUUUGUGUCUCCUGAGAAGACCUCCGCCGGGACUAUGGACUGGACUGACCAGCUGGGCCUCAGGAACUUGGAGGUGUCCAGCUCUGUGGCUUCCGGGGGCUUGAGUGAGGCCAGGGAGGAUGCCGUGGGGCAGCUGGGCUGGUCCGACAGCCUGGGCUUGGGGCACGUGGACCUGGCCAGUGGUGUGGAGACCGGAGGGGCUGAGGAGCCCAGGGGCCUCGCAGUUGGGGACAAAGACUGGACUCCUGAUGUUGGGGUGAGGGCCCGAGUUUUGGCUGGGGUGGGAGAGGCAGGAGGCCACAGCCAGGACAGAGAGAGUGGCGUGGGGCAGACCGACUGGUCAGGUGUGCAGGCCGGAGAAUUCCUUAAAUCCAGGGAGCAUGGAGUGGGACAGGCAGACUGGACACCUGACCUGGGGCUGAGAAACAUGGCCCCGGGAGCAGGAUGCAGCCCCAGGGAGCUUGGGGUGGGCCAGGUGGACUGGGGCAACAAUCUGGGCCUGAAAAUUUUGGAGGUGCCAUGUGACCGAGAGACUGGAGGUUCUCAGGAGCCGCGGGGAUGUGGAGUGGGGCAGAUGGACUGGACCCAGGACUUGGGGCUCCGCAUCAUGGAGCUCUCUGGGGCCCCGAGUGAAGCCAGGGAGCACGGGGUGGGAGAGGUCAGCCAGUGCCCAGAGCUGGGCCGCAGGGACAGCCCUGGCCUGGAGGCCAGAGACCCCGUGGAGACCAGGGAGCUGGGGGUUGGUGAGAUAAGUGGACCAGAGACCCAGGGUACAGGUGACUCCUCACCUUCCUUGGAGACCCACCUUGAAGACCCCGGAAUGGAGACAGGAGAAGCCCCCAGCUUCGGAGCCAGCCCCAGAGGGUGCUCAGCCCGCUUGCCACCCUCUGGCUCCCAGGACCUGCUGGAGGAGGUGCUGGCUGCCAGCAGCUCCAAGGCAGUGGCCCGGAGGGAAUCGGCAGCUUCGGGCCUCAGGGACCUGUCAGAAGAGGAAGGAGCCAUGGCAGGUGCUGACCGAGGGGAGCCCCUGGAGCUCGGCAGGGACCCUUUGCCCUCGUGGAGGCCCCAGCCUGAUGGUGAAGCCAGCCGGACAGAAGAGGUGGAUGGCACCUGGGGCCCUGCGGGGACCAGGAGGGGUGAGCAGGGCCCGAUGAGGCCCCCUCGACGGCCCUCCCAAGGCCCUCCCUCCAGCUCCCCGAGUCAGGACUUCUCCUUCAUCGAGGACACCGAGGUCCUUGAUAGUGCCAUGUAUCGGAGCCGUGCCAACCUGGGGCGCAAGCGUGGGCACCGCGCCCCGGCCAUCCGGCCUGGCGGUACCCUGGGCCUGUCGGAAGCGGCAGACUCGGAUGCACGCCUGUUCCAGGACUCUACAGAGCCACGAGCUUCUCGGGUGCCAUCUUCAGACGAGGAGGUGGUGGAGGAGCCUCAGAACCGCCGGACACGGAUGUCCCUGGGCACCAAGGGGCUGAAAGUCAACCUGUUUCCGGGCCUGAGCCCAUCAGCCCUGAAGGCCAAGCUACGUCCCCGGAACCGCUCGGCUGAGGAGGGGGAGCCAGCAGAGAGCAAGUCGAGUCAGAAGGAGUCUGCGGUCCAGCGCUCCAAGUCCUGCAAGGUCCCGGGGCUGGGAAAGCCCCUCGCAUUACCUCCUAAGCCAGAGAAAUCCUCAGGGUCAGAAGGAUCGUCACCAAACUGGCUGCAAGCCCUGAAGCUAAAGAAGAAGAAGGUCUGAGAAGUCACUGAGGCUGGAAGCAGGCAGGUGGAGCCAAGCUCCAGAGACUUGGUCCUUCCUAGCCGGCAGUCUCAGGCAGUGCCCGUUCCCGUGGGGUCCCUGGCGAGGAGACAGCUGGAGCCUCCCAUGCCCCAGGCUGCAGCCUCUGUCCCCCUCCACCUCUGAGGAGUGUCUGGGGAGGCACAUUUAUGCACUUUGUAUCACCUUCCCCACUUCCCCCCACCCACACCUUCCCUCCCAGCCUGAAUUCCGUCAUUAGUGGUCAGAGGUUCUGGUCCCUCCCUCCUUGGGCUCUCUUCCCGCCUCCCUCUCUGCUUCCUCUUCCAGCCUCCCUUGGGUUUUCUUUUGAUACCAAUUUAUAGCAUUUUUUAUAAAAGCCUUUGAUUUUUGUAAUGGGUGGAGCCCAGCCCCACCUCAGGGCUCCCUCCACCCUGCCAGGUGCCCCACAGAGACCAAUAACAUUUUGCCACUUGAAACAAUAAAGUUUUUUGGGAAUUGGU